CCGCCCGUCACAUCACGAAAGCGAGCUGUACUAGAAGUCGCCGCGCUAACCGCAAGGAGGCAGGCGCCCAAGGUAUGACUCGUGAUUGGGGUG
rnacentral:rRNA from 1 species